rnacentral:rRNA from 1 species
UCAGAACAAACGCUGGCGGCGUGCCUAACACAUGCAAGUCGUACGUGAAAGGGUCCUUCGGGACCUGAGUAAAGUGGCGCACGGGUGAGUAACGCGUGGAUAAUCUGCCCCUCAGUUGGGAAUAACUCAUCGAAAGGUGGGCUAAUACCCGAUAAUGCUGCAUCUACCUCGGUGGAUCAGCCAAAGAGAGCCUCUGUUUACAUGCCCUCACUGAAGGAUGAGUCCGCGUACCAUUAGCUUGUUGGUGGGGUAAUGGCCUACCAAGGCGACGAUGGUUAGCUGGUCUGAGAGGAUGAUCAGCCACACUGGAACUGAGACACGGUCCAGACUCCUACGGGAGGCAGCAGUGAGGAAUCUUGCGCAAUGGGGGCAACCCUGACGCAGCAACGCCGCGUGAGUGAGGAAGGUUUUCGGAUCGUAAAGCUCUGUCGGGUGGAAAGAAACGUAUGGGGGUCAAUACCCCUCAUGCUUGACGGUACCACCAGAGGAAGCACCGGCUAACUCCGUGCCAGCAGCCGCGGUAAUACGGUGGGGGCAAACGUUGUUCGGAAUUACUGGGCGUAAAGGGUGCGUAAGCGGUUCGGUAAGUCUUGCGUGAAAUCUCGUUGCUUAACAACGAAACUGCGCUGGAUACUGCUGAACUCCAGGAU